UACAGAGGGUGCGAGCGUUGUCCGGAAUCACUGGGCGUAAAGGGCGCGUAGGCGGGAUGGCAAGUCAGUCGUGAAAUCUCUCGGCUCAACCGAGAAACGUCGGCUGAUACUGCCGUUCUUGAGGGAUGCAGAGGAGACUGGAAUUCCCGGUGUAGCGGUGAAAUGUGUAGAGAUCGGGAGGAACACCGGUGGCGAAGGCGGGUCUCUGGGCAUCCCCUGACGCUGAGGCGCGAAAGCGUGGGGAGCAAACGGG
rnacentral:rRNA from 1 species